GACCUCGUAGCUCAGCUGGUAGAGCACUCACGGUACUAAGGCGAGGGUGGCGACCAUGCGUGGGUUCGUAUCCCGCCGGGGUCA
rnacentral:tRNA from 1 species